rnacentral:rRNA from 1 species
AGUGAACGCUGGCGGUAGGCCUAACACAUGCAAGUCGAACGGCAGCACAGUAAGAGCUUGCUCUUACGGGUGGCGAGUGACGGACGGGUGAGGAAUACAUCGGAAUCUACUUUUUCGUGGGGGAUAACGUAGGGAAACUUACGCUAAUACCGCAUACGACCUACGGGUGAAAGCAGGGGAUCUUCGGACCUUGCGCGAUUGAAUGAGCCGAUGUCGGAUUAGCUAGUUGGCGGGGUAAAGGCCCACCAAGGCGACGAUCCGUAGCUGGUCUGAGAGGAUGAUCAGCCACACUGGAACUGAGACACGGUCCAGACUCCUACGGGAGGCAGCAGUGGGGAAUAUUGCACAAUGGGCGCAAGCCUGAUCCAGCCAUACCGCGUGGGUGAAGAAGGCCUUCGGGUUGUAAAGCCCUUUUGUUGGGAAAGAAAAGCAGCAGGUUAAUACCCCGCUGUUCUGACGGUACCCAAAGAAUAAGCACCGGCUAACUUCGUG